rnacentral:rRNA from 1 species
CGGAGGAUCCAAGCGUUAUCCGGAAUCAUUGGGUUUAAAGGGUCCGUAGGCGGUUUAGUAAGUCAGUGGUGAAAGCCCAUCGCUCAACGGUGGAACGGCCAUUGAUACUGCUAGACUUGAAUUAUUAGGAAGUAACUAGAAUAUGUAGUGUAGCGGUGAAAUGCUUAGAGAUUACAUGGAAUACCAAUUGCGAAGGCAGGUUACUACUAAUGGAUUGACGCUGAUGGACGAAAGCGUGGGUAGCGAACAGGAUUAGAUACCCUGGUAGUCCACGCCGUAAACGAUGGAUACUAGCUGUUGGGGCAACUUCAGUGGCUAAGCGAAAGUGAUAAGUAUCCCACCUGGGGAGUACGUUCGCAAGAAUG